UAUUUUUUCUUUAAAAUAAAAGUUAAAACUUUGGAAUCGAAAGUUAUCUGUUUAAUUCAAACAUAUUUUUCAUCGGGUCAGAAUCCAAAUUUCGAAAUUUGUCUUAUGAACUAAAAAGUUUUUAAACUUUUAUUUUCAAAACAUUCAAUGUGGAAAAAACACCGUUCACCGUGACAGGUUAUUCGAAAUCGGAAGAAAAAGAAAAUGAAAUAUUUUUGUUGACAUACUUUUACCCGCACUCUUGUGAACAAUUUUAUAUUUAGUUUUUGAUUCACAUAGAAAGUAAAAAUGAAUUCCAGCCCGCUUAUCGUUGAAUUAUAUACAUAAUUACAGUGAUUAUGAGCCAUUGCAGCUCCCCCAGAUAUGAUGUGGAGCUAUGAGAAUCUCAGCAUUGGCGAUGUCGACUGUGUCAAUGAUGGCCUUGUAAAUUAAGUUCAGACACAUCUUCAUUGAGUUCCUUUCUGUUUGGCGGAACAAUAUUUAUAUAGAUUUAUAUAGAUUACGCCAUUUGGAAUCACAGCAAAGAUGACACUAUUUACCCCGAGGGACAGUUUUUUGGUGAACUCGCCCAAGCUGUUGGCAGCAUGUGCCUUCGGAUCAGCAGAAUUGAUGGGUAAGGCCUCGGGUCAGGCGAUCUACACCAGCCACAAGGCAAUUCCGUGAGAAAUGAAUAAAAUGAAAAAAAAAAUAUAAAAAUGAAGUGUUGUGUAAUAAAUAUUUACUGUUUCUGUAAGA